AUGGGCACACAGUCCCCCCUCAGAGAGCCAUCCUUAACCUCCAGCCCUGGGCAGCCCCCUCCAAAUCCCCUUCUCUUUGUCUUAGGCACUGAGUAUCCUCAGGCAGGACCGUGGGCGAACCUGUCUGGCAGCUCCAGGGCUUGGGCUGCUGACGGGGGCACACCUGGGCCCUCAGGCGGCUCUUGGUCAACAUUUGUGGAUGAACAGAACAGUUCUCAGCUCUCAGGUACCACAGCAAGGGGGACAGGACAGGGAAGGACCGUCAUGGGAGGGGAGAGCCUGAAUUUGGAACUCCAGCCCACCUGGCCAGGAAGGAGGGUGAGCGAGAAGGCUCGGCGGCUGGGCACAGGGCGCCGGGCAAGGAGGCGGCCUGGACCCUUGGCCACCAGGGGCUUCCAGAAGAAGGGGCAGGGUGGGCCGGGAGGGACCUCCUGGGGGCGGCAGGCCUCACCAGUGGCAGUCUGCGCCAGCUUCUCCUUGGUCUUGAGCGCAUGGGCGCGUUCCUCCCGCAGCCGGUCCUCAUCGCGCAGCAGGGCCACCAGCUGUUUGGCCUUCUCACGCACGUUCACACCCUGGUCCUUGCCGUCACGGUCCACGUACUGGAAGUCCUUCAGUGUCUGCACGGCGUACAUGUUCUCCUUGCACUGCUGUGACACGCGCUCCGAGCCGGUCUUGAUGAGGUACUCCAUCAGCGUCAUGGCCUUCGGGGCGGGGGGCACACCGGUCACUCACGCGGCUGCCAGGAUCCCAGCCCCAGCACCGACCCACAUGUCAUCAGCAGGCGGAUCGACAAGCGUGGCCCAUCAGCACGGCGGAUACCCCACGGCCGUGAGAAAGAACCGAGCACUGCCGCGUGCUGCCCCCUGCAGGGACAACCCUGAGGACGCGGCGCUGCAUGGAAGCAGCCAGACGGCGAAGAGCGCGCUCACAGGGCACGUCCUUGACAGGCACAUCCAGACAGGAAGGAGGGUCAUGGCUGCCAGGAGCUGGGGGAUUCCUAACAGAUAUGGGCUUUGUGUUCAGGAUGACGACAAUACUCUGGGCCUAGGCGGCGGCGAUUGGCUGCACCCCCGGGAACAUGCUCGAUGCCCCGGCACUGCACGCUUGUGA
rnacentral:lncRNA from 1 species